rnacentral:lncRNA from 1 species
CUCCCGUGUACAGAAUUAAGAAUGUGAACUUUUCUGAGCUCGGUUUACUGGGCACGAAAUUGAAUCACGCAAUAGUCAUUUGGAGUAAAAUGGCAUUUGGGGAAACCCCCAAAGUCGCUUUAUUAAUUAUAAAAUUUUUCAAUAACAAGUAUUUGAUUUAAAUUAUAUAUAAUAUAGUCUUGCCCAGUAAAGGUGAAGGGCACAAAAACGCCAACAAAAAAUUAUGCAUACAACAAUAUAGCUAAACAUAAAGAAAGCAGUAAGGGAGGGAUGGUGGGAAAUUUCUCUUCUGUUAUCGGCGAAAUCAAGCGGCAAAUGAGGCCGAUCUCACGUGGUAGCCUUGGUUUUAUGUCGGCGUUCUACGCCAGACCGAGGCUCGUCACCAAUCCCCUUUGCUUCUUCCUUCACAUCGGCAACUUCCGUGUGAUCAACUUGGAUUAAAUUUUCAACCAAGAAACUCAUAAAAACUCUAUUUGCCUUCAAAUAUUUCAUUUAUGAUUUUCUUUUUCUCCCGUGUACAGAAUUAAGGAUGUGAACUUUUCUGAGCUAGGUUUACUGGGCACGAAAUUGAAUCACGCAAUAGUCAUUUGGAGUAAAAUGGCAUUUGGGGAAACCCCCAAAGCCGCUUUAUUAAUUAUAAAAUUUUUCAAUAACAAGUAUUUGAUUUAAAUUAUAUAUAAUAUAGUCUUGACAAGUAAAGGUGAAGGGCACAAAAACGCCAAGAGCGUGAUGCAAAUGAUGCUGCCCCACCCGAAGAAAAAUACACAUCCUUGUCUGAUAAAUAUUGCAAUGAAGCAUAAACAUUAAUAUCAAUAAACAACAAAAACACUCGUCGGCCUGCUGCUCUUGCCAAUCAGUCCAACAAAUGUUCGCUAUGUUAUAUUAAACUAUUAAUUGAAUACUAUUAUAAGGAGACAACAAACAUUGGCAAGAUUGCUGCCCUUGCUAAUCAGUCCAACCAAUGUUCGCUAUAUAAUUAUAGUAAUAUUAAUUUGUUUAGCUAAUAAACGCUAUAAACAAUGCUUACAUAGCAUUCCGUAGAGGACCAGUAAGAAACUGCUGCCCUUGCUAAUCAGUUUUCCACUCAUCCUUAUAAAUAAACAAAGUCAGGAAGAAAGGGAAGGAAGUCGGAUAUAUUUCAGAAAUGCAUUGGACUUCCACCUACCGAGAGCACGUAUUUGAGCAUCCGACAUACCCCGAUCUGCAGCAUGAGAAGCAGCCCCUAUCCGAAAACUGUGACCCUUAUAAACAUUAGGGCUUAAAUUGCAUAAUUUAAGAGCUAAUGCCAGUUGUUUUGCGAAAUAGUUACGAGGAACAGGAUUUCCAUUUGACAAAACAAACGAAAAACCUCGUUGUAAACCUCUGUUGCUUAAAUAAGCUAGAAGGAUAGAUACAGGACAAAAUUGUAAUUGUUUCUUAACAAUAACGGAGAAUGGACGCUGGUUGUAAUUGUGUUUGAAAUUCAAAAAAGUGAUUUUUAUAGACACAACUUUGCCCGAACUAUCUACCAUCUCAUAUUGUGAUAUAGAAAUAUGUAAUCUCAUAUUGUGAUAUAGAAAAUUGAUGAGUAAUAGCAAUUAUCCUGUGAAGUAAAGGUAGUGUGAUGGGCAACCUGGUGUCUAGGCGACACCCUAACUUGAGGUAACCUUUUAACAUCUGCUUAAUGUAAAAAACCUUGGUAGGAUCUGCAUAACCGGAUAAUUUGUGCAAAUAACCUAAUGUGGACACGUAGGUGUUAACUGUAGAUGAAGCGUACCGUUUAUUGUACAGGUGCGCGACAAACAAAGCCAACACAGCUGGUUUAAUUGGAAAUGAUAUUGAAAAACCCUGAAACAACACCCCGUGGAAUUGCUCAAAUAGCUUCCAUGCCCUACGAUAGGUUGGUCGAGAAGAAGGUUGAAGGCUAGCUAGCACUAGACUAGCUACUGUAGGGACCAAUUCUCUGGCUGCAGAUGGACAGGUAUGACGGUUGGUGAAUGGUCCAUAGUUGGUGGAGCCAAUUGUUGAAAUCUCUGCACCUGUAAGCGAGACAGAGCAUCCGCUAAAUUAUUCCUAACACCCGGUACAUGUUUUGCCUUAAACAUGAUAUUAAAUUGUAAACAAAGCAAAACAAGUCUACGGACAAAGACCAUUAAAGUUUUGUCCUUGCAUGACUGUUUGUUAAUGACAUGAACUAAAGCUUCGUUGUCAGUAUAAAAUAUAAUUGAGCGGUUACUCAUAUCUGCACCCCACAAAUGCAAGCUCAAAACAAUUGGAUAAAAUUCUAAUAUUGCAAUGUUAGUGUUAACCCAAUUAUCAGGCCAUUUCCCAUAACACCAAUGGUUUCCAAAUACAGCACCAAACCCUAAAGCACCGGAGGCGUCCGUAAAAAGAUUUAUAUUAUUAGACAACUGCCAUAUAUCAUCAAUAAAAAAUGAUUUGCCAUUGAAAUUCGAGAGAAAGGACAACCAAAGAUUCAGAUCUUUUUUGACUUCUUUACUAACGCGAAUAAAGUGGUGUUGAGAUUUAAUGCCGAUUGUCAAAUCGAUUAAACGGCGUAAAAAGGCUCGACCAGGCCUUACCACAGAACAUGCAAAGUUAAGAAGGCCAUUUAGUGAUUGAAUUUCUCUCAAUGUUACCUUUUUUCGACCGAGAAAUUCUGAAAUAAUCGAAAUACAUUUCUCGAUUUUUUCGGGUGGCAAACGAGCUUCAGAUAAUAAUGUGUCCAGUUCUAUUCCGGCAAAAGACAGUUUCGUUGAAGGUCCACAAGUUUUUUCAGGUGCCAUGGGAAUGCCCAAAUAAUCGCAUAAAAACAGAAAUAAUUGUAACUGGUCCCUACACAAUUUCUCAGUCAUUGCAGCUAAUAAAAAAUCAUCUAGUAAAUGUAACAUAUAAUGGAUAUUCAAUUUGUUUUGUGCUAUCCACUGAACAGCCGUGCUAAAUUUCUCAAAAGUUGAACAAGAACUCAAGCAACCCAUAGGCAUACAGCGAUCAUAAUAAUAAACCCCCUUCCACAUUAUUCCUAAUAAAGGAUAAUCUUUCGGCUGAAUUGGUAAUAGUCGAAAAGCAUUUUUAAUGUCUGUUUUUGCAAUAAAACAUCCUGGACCUAAUUGCUUAAUAAGCUUUAUAGCAUCGUCUAUUGUAGAAUAAGAAACAGUUGAAUGAUCAUGAUGUAUACCAUCGUUCACAGAUGACCCAUGUGGGUAUGAAAGAUGGUGAAUAAGACGAAAUUCGCCAGGCACUUUCUUAGGAACAACUCCCAAAGGAGAUACCCAAAAAUCUUGGAAGGGUGGUUUAUCAAAAGGACUUGCUAAACGACAGGCUGACAAUUCCUUUGAAAUUUUUGCAUCGACUGCCUGUGGAUUGCUCAAAGCAGAUACUAAAUGUUUUGCAAUAAAUGAUUUAUAAGCGCCUUGAUAAUGUAAAGGGAAGCCUUCACUAAAACCAUGUGUCAAAAAUUCAGUUAAUAACUGAUCAUAUCCUUCCAGAAAAAUUACUAAACAAUCAACUUUUACCGGAGUGGGGAGCUGCUUGUCUGUGAAAUUGUGUGUUUUUGCCAAAAGCUUUGCCUUGGGUACGAAAAAAAUUACACUGACUCGCUCGAUGCUCGCGUUGGCAAUGAAAGCAUGUGUGUUUGAAAGCACAACCUGCACAAUCUAACCCACGAUGGAAUUUGAAACAAAAACCAUGUGGUACACGCUGAUUAUCACUACCUUUGGCAGGGCCAGUAAAUGGCUGUGCUCGCUUACUCAACAUAGGAGAAGACGGUUGUGCACGUAACCAUAACUCCCAGUGAACACUUCCCCAAGGCAAGGCUGAAGCAGGAUUUUGUCUUAAAAAACGGAAGUUCUCAUCAUAAAAUUUCCAGUUGAAACCCCGUGACGCUAAGUCUUGGAUUAUUUCACAGUACUUCAUCAACCCCGGGGAUUCACUUGGAAAUCUACGAGUGUAGACUCCUACAAAUAUAUGAAAUGCUUGGAGCCAUUGAUUAAUAUUGAAAAUUUUUUGGCUCCGGUUAAUUGGCUCGAGACAAAUAGAUGGUCCAUUAUUACCCUCUAAACUUUGAAACGACAAUUGGAACUUAUUGUUCCCUUGACUAGAAAUAAGGGUACUAAAUUCCACAUAUUCAUUAUUCCAAAUUUUGGCUUUGACUCUAUCGUUCACUCUAGAAUCUAUUUCCAGGCUGCUUGAAUGAAAAAUAGUUUUUGGAAUAGAUGGUGUAUCACCAUAAUGUAUACCUGCGAUAGCUUCUUGGGACUGCCCCACAGCUACUUCGACCAGGGAAUCUAUUGUAGGUUGGACUUCCUGCAAGAUGUUGUGGUCUACUGGCUGCUGUAGAAUGCU